GGGUGCUCUUACCCAUUGAGCCAUCUCACCAGCCCUAAAAAAAUCUUUUAAUGGGCUAAAGAGUUGGCUCAGCAGGCAGAAUGUUUGCUGUAUAAUCAUUGGACCUGAGAUGGACCUUAAAGCUCACAAAAAACAAAAAACAAAAAACAAAAAACAAAAAACAAAAAAAACCCAGGCUUGGGAUUACAUGGGUAAUCCCAACUUCAACGUGAUGGUGGAAAGGUCAGAUCUCUGGGGCUUGCCGUCUGGCUGGUGAUAGUGAGAGAUCUUGUCUCUGAAAACACAGUGAGGUGCUACAGAGACAGCCUAGUGCCUCAGAGCGCUUAUUACUCUGCAGAGGACUGGGUGGCUCACUACUGCCUGUAACUUCAGUUCCAGGGAAUUGGAUACCCUCUUCUUGCCUUCACAGGACUCCUGCACAUGGUACACCUGCAUACAGUCUCACACACACACACACAACACACACACACACACAGAAUAAAUAAAUGAAUAAAUUUAAAAGAAGGUAAAACAGCUACACAUGAGUGCAUCUGCACACACACAGACACAUAGGCAUUCACAUAUACAAAUCUACUUAUACAAUACAGAAGAGAGAAGAAUAAAUAUUAAACAAAU
rnacentral:lncRNA from 1 species